CCGUGUCUCUCACACGACCAGAACACAUCUGUGUGUUAGCCCGCGUGCAAAAACCUAGGUAUUCUGUUUCUGACGUCAGCAUUCUCAAAAUGACACACGGCCAUGACACACGCCCGUGUACUAGACCGUGUCCUCCACAAGGCUAAGACACACGGUCGUGCCUCUGCCCGUGUGUUUAUUACCAUGCAUACUGUGUAAUAUCUUGAUUUU
rnacentral:lncRNA from 1 species